UAUUGAUCAUGUAGGCUGCGCCCACACCUAUCUACUUUUACAUUGCCAACUUGCUGCAGGCGUGGGCUAGUUGUAAAUAUCACUUGUUUAUUUUUAUUUUCUGUUAGACCUUACGCCUUUGGAAUAAAGGUCAUCGUGAUACGAAAACAUAGCAAGAGUUUUCGAUACUACAACCUACGCACCCCUAACUUUUGUUUCGUAAUUAACCCAAAGGAUUGUGACUUUCGUUGUGUUGUAUGACAAAAAUAGCUACAGAGUAGCAAGCAUUAUUACAUCUGCGUUCUAUUUUUAUCUUCUCAGCAAAAUUUGAGCCAGAGAGUGUGCCCACCUCCUCCUGGGCCGGUAUGCCCCCAAAUCUGUCCCCCGCCCCCUCCUAUGCCCCCUUGCAGGGCC